CGCUGGGAUGCCAGGUUCGGGUAGGAGGCCCCUUGGGGGGCGAUUCUUUAGGAAAUUCCUUUAGAAGAAAACAACUUGGGACUGGAUAGCGUGCGAUAUGCAGAGAAAUGCAACUUUCAUUCAUUUGCAGUUAGCGAUCCGCCCUUCCCUGCUCCCCACCCUUCCGUGGCUCCCCAGUACCCGCCUGCUGUCGCCCACACCCUUAGGACAGCUUCGUGGCCCCCCGUGAGCGCAGAGGGCCAUGCCUACCGCUCAUUUAAGAAGCGAACCUGUAUUGUGCUGUUGGCCCCCUUUUCCUGUCUCUUCAUCUCCCCUCGAAGCGGAGGAUCCCUGUGUCCCAGCCGGGCAUGGCCGACCCCCACCAGCUUUUUGAUGACACAAGUUCAGCCCAGAGCCGGGGCUAUGGGGCCCAGCGGGCACCUGGUGGCCUAGGCUAUCCUGCAGCCUCUCCCACGCCCCAAGCAGCCUUCCUGGCUGACCCGGUGUCCAACAUGGCCAUGGCCUAUGGGAGCAGCCUGGCCGCGCAGGGCAAGGAGCUGGUGGAUAAGAACGUGAGUGGGCGGGGCUGGUGGGAGUGGGGGGAUGCACGGGGCCACAGGGCUUCAGACUUGAGCUCUGCCUCCCCAGAUCGACCGCUUCAUCCCCAUCACCAAGCUCAAGUAUUACUUUGCUGUGGACACCAUGUAUGUGGGCAGAAAGCUGGGCCUGCUGUUCUUCCCCUACCUACACCAGGACUGGGAGGUGCAGUACCAACAGGACACCCCGGUGGCCCCCCGCUUUGACGUCAAUGCCCCGGACCUCUACAUUCCAGCAAUGGCUUUCAUCACCUACGUUUUGGUGGCUGGUCUUGCGCUGGGGACCCAGGAUAGGUUCUCCCCAGACCUCCUGGGGCUGCAAGCGAGCUCAGCCCUGGCCUGGCUGACCCUGGAGGUGCUGGCCAUCCUGCUCAGCCUCUAUCUGGUCACUGUCAACACCGACCUCACCACCAUCGACCUGGUGGCCUUCUUGGGCUACAAAUAUGUCGGGUGAGUACCCCCGCCCUUCACGCCAGCCCCAGCCCUUGGGCCUUGCCCUCACACAGCCUCCUCUCCCUCCCCCAGGAUGAUUGGCGGGGUCCUCAUGGGCCUGCUCUUCGGGAAGAUUGGCUACUACCUGGUGCUGGGCUGGUGCUGCGUGGCCAUCUUUGUGUUCAUG
rnacentral:sRNA from 1 species